GCACUGUGACUUCUGUCAAUGAUGGC
rnacentral:piRNA from 1 species